CAGUAAUCGAUGUAAAAACACAAAAAAAACAAUCUGCUAAGUCGGUUACUUCACUAACCGAUGUAAAACUACAUGCUCAUCUAAGAUGGUUAUGCUAAAAACCAUCUUAGUUUUCAACAAUCCAAGUCGGUCAUUUGCACAACCGAUGUAGAAACACAAAAAUGCUAUGGUAAAUCUAAGUCGGUUAUGCUAAAAAUCGUCUUAGUUUUGUAACAAUCUAAGUCGGUCAUUUACAUAACAGAUGUAGAAAUGAGAGUUUACCAAGGCGGUUUUGGUCUGAAAACCGCCUUGGAUAACGUCAAUUUCUAAGACGGCUAUGAAAUAACCGUCUUAGUAUAGGUAAUAAUCUAAGACGGUUCAAAACCCAUCGUUGUAAAAGCGACCCUUUUUUACGACAUGCUCAUCUAAGACGAUUAAAAACCGACUUAGAAGAGCCAAUUCGACCGACUUAGAAGAGGCUUAUUGUAGUAGUGUAUGUCAUUCUUUUUCUUUUAGUUUUUGAAAUUUUUUGUCCUUAUCCUUACAAAUAUGUCACUUUCUACUUUUAGUUGUUGUAAUUUAUUUAUUUAUUUGGUCUCUAUAUAUAAUAUUUAUUAAAUAUGUCACCUUUAGUCUUUGAAAACAUCAUCAUAGCCUACAUGACAAUCGAAGACAUCAUCAAGAAGUCAUCACUAUCAACCAUGCUAGCUUUUAUGUAACAUGGAGUGAUGAGAGAAACUAAAAGAGAAAUAUUUGAAAAAGGUAAGCACAAAAACCAAACAAAAAUAAUUAUAGGGAUCCAAAUUAAAAAGUGAUAUGUUAGUUAAUAGAAGCAAAAAAAAACAUAAUUAAGCUACAAUUCAUAAAAACCAAAAUCAAAUAGAGUAUAUUACAUGAACUAAAAAUAUUUCUAAUUCUUAAAAAAAUAUUAUUUCCUUUAAAAUUGUUCUAACCAAGACAUUUUUUUAUUCUUGCGAAAUUUAUUCACCUAGUUGGUAUGCAUAAUACUUAGUGAAAGUAUAAUCAUAUUCUUCACAUAUCACAAGCAAUAUAAUCAUAGUUGGUCUUGAUAUUUUAUGGAUUCGAGAUGAAAUAAUAAAUAGGGAUCGUUUUAUACAAGUAUUAUAAACAUUUUUCAUAAAAGAAAUAUGCACACAAUUUCAUUAAAAUACAUUUUGUUACAUAUAACAUAUUUUCUUUAAUCAUAAAUACUUACAAAUACAAAAUAGAUUUAAAUACGUUUUUGAUCUCUUAAUUUAUGACACUUUUUGCUUUUGGUUCCCCAAAUUUAAAUUUAGUUUUUUAGUUCCCUAAUUCUGAUUUUUUUUUUUCUUUUUAGUCUCUCUACAUAAAAAUAAAUAAAUAUCCCAAUAACCUCAAAAUAAGAUUUUUUUAUGAAGAGAAAUUCAAAUUAAAAUUUUUCAAAAUUGAGGAACUAAAGAAGAUGAAUUUAAAUUUGAGAAACCAAAAACAAAAAUGACUCACAUUUGAGGGAUGAAAACACAUAUUUAAGCCAAGAAUUAAUAUUUAUAUGUGAAUAGCUAGGCAUUUAAUUUUUUGUUGGAAAUUAUUUUUUUUUUUGCUUCCAUGAAUAUCCUUAACCUUUAGUUGGAGUCUAGUUCCUUUCAAAGCAUAUAGAUUAUUGAAGUAAAUUUUAUCUCUUUAAACAAAACAAAUUUAUAUCCGAUAAUGCUUGGAUAAGUUAAGAUUUGGGAAUUGAAUGAGUUUUGAAAAAUACCAACAAGAUGAAGUUCUUGCCAAAAUAUUUUUUUAAAAUUUUUUUAUCUUCAAUUAAAAUUGUCUUAUAUUUUUUGCACCAUUAUCAACCAUGCACCUUGGGCGGUUGCACCUCUAAACUAACGCAAGCCGACACUAAACAUAAUUUUAUGAAGAAGUAUAUGUUUAACAAGAACAAAGCAAAAUGAGGUUAUUAACUAGUAAACUUGACCAAAUGCAUGUACAAUUACUUAUUAUUCAAAACCCUUGAGAGUGAAAUCCCAUCCCUAUGAUUAAAAAUGAGAGAGAAUUUAAAUAAUACGAAAGGAGGUAUGAAAUUUUAAUGGUAGAUUUUCACUUAAGAGAAUCGAAGUAAAAAUUCCAAUUUAGAAAAUCCAUCUUCUUAAAUUUCCUUUCUCUUAUUUCUAGUUAAGGAUUGAGAUUUUAUUGGACACAAAUAUUACAUGAAAAGAUCCAACACAUAGAAUGGAUUCUUUUAUUUGAAAAUUUCACAUGAAUUCUCUCCCUGAAAAUCUUCCCCAUCAAAACUCCAUGUUCCUUUUUUCAUUAUUUAAACCCCUCUUUUUUUUUAAUUAGACAAAUAUUAACGGAAAUUAUUAUCUUAAGAACACUAGUUAAGAAAGUAAAAAAAAAAGUUUUUUUUUUCUAUUAGAAUAUGUAAAAAUAUGUUCACAUAUGAUUUUUAAAUGAUACUGAUAUAAUUUUUCAUAAAUUUUUUUCCUUUUAAUUUCUUAAUUAGUAUUUUUAAGACACUAAUUAACAAAAUUAUUUGAAUUAAGGAUUUAGACUCUAGAUUGUGCUAAACAAAAUUAUCACACAUAACGGAUAAAAUAAAUGUAAGUAUUGAUGAUUAUAAAAUAAUAAUGGAACAUUGGAACUAUUGAUGGCAUCACCUUGACACGUUCCCAUAUUGAGGUCAAUGAGUGAUAUAUCACUCUGCGCUGGCUAGCAUUAUUAGCUCUUUCUAUAAUGAUGUGCUAUAUAUUUAUCGUUUUCAACUUACAUAACAUACCAUGAAAACUGCUGCUUCCACUACAACUUUAGCAGCCACUUACAUUUAUCCUUCUUUCUUCCUUCAGCUACUGUAAAAAGUGCCUUGAUACUAUGCUUAUUCAAAAUAUGCAGAGAUAUAUAACUAAUAAAGUUUAUUCAGUUGAUCCAAAUAUGUUUAAACGUUUAUUAAAUCUUGAGAUCUAUUCUAACUUCAAUGAGCAUAUGAAACUCAAUCAUUUAAACUUUUUGCAAUAAAAAAAAUAUAUGCAAAGAUUCAUUUGAAUUUGAUUUAACUAAGAAAAUUUUUUGCUAUCUGUACGAGUUUCCUAUUUUAUUUUCAACUAUAUAAAUGUUAUAUUAUUGCUAUUUUUAAUUUUUAAUUAAACAAUUAAAUUAUUUUUUAUUAAUUUUUUAUAAAGAUGGACAUGGACUUUUCUGUAAUAAAAGAUAAAAAAAAUAUCUUAAAAAACAAAUCAUUCUAAACCUUUCUUAAGCAACAAGUAUAGUUAUUUUUUUUUAGAAACUUAGAGUAUGUUUGGUUUAAAAAAGAAAGUAAAAGGAAAAAAAAUAGAAAAUGAGAUUCUUUUUAAAUUGUUUGUUAAGAAACAAAAUAAAAGUAAAGGAAGUUAAAAAAAUUCUUUCUUUUAUAUGAUUAAGUAGAAAGUUAAAGGGAAAAAAUAUAUAAUAUACAACACUAAGUUUGCUGGACUUGUGUAAUUGUGUUCUUCUCACUCCUUUUAGCCCACUUUUGAAUGGAAUGCUUUUUUUUUUUUUUUUUCUGUGAAUCUCAUAUUUUCUUUCCUUCCUAUUUUUUAGAUGAACCAAACCACCAUGAAAUGAAAUGUCAUCAUUUCCUUCCUUUUCCAUUUUCUGGAAACAAACACAACAUUAACGUUUGUUGGACUUGUGUAAUUGUGUUCCAUUACGUGAAAUAAAGUUUUAAAUUUUAAUUAAAAUAUAUGUUUCAAUACAACAUUUUUUAGACUAUAAUAAAUAUUGGCAAAAAUCUUAGAUGUUCCUGUAAAAUUUCAGUUGCUAAGCUAGUGGAGUUUCAAUAGCAUUAUUAUUCUCUCCAAGCAAAAGCAGCAAGUUUAACGUUUUCUUCCUUUAACUAUUAAAAUCGCAAUAGUAAAAUAAAAUAAAAUAAGAGGUCUCCUACUCUUAAAACAGCAAGGAAAACUUCAUUCAAGAAGUUAAAAAAUGGCGUCAAACUUGAUUAACAUUAAAAAGCUAGCGGGGGGCUAGAGAUUUACAAUGACAACUAUUCAAACGGGGCAACAUAUUAAUCCUUUAAUAUAUCAAUUUCGUUCUUGUGAUGAUGACUUUUCAUAAAUUAUUUCAAUUAGAGCUAAGCAGGUAUGUCACCCUUUUUCUUCUUCUUGAAUAUGAGGUGGUGGUGUUAUCAUCUCUUGACUUGGUGGUGGUAUACUAACCCUCCUUUUCUUGACCAUGAGGUGGUGGUGUUACCAUCUCUUGGCUUAGUGGUGCCAUAUUACCCAUUCGGUAGACCUGGUGGGUAACUCUCAGUUGACUCUGGUGGUGUCACCAUCCCCUUGAAUUUAUUGAAUUGAAGAAAUCAAAGUCGGCAACAGUGUUAACAAGUCCAUGAUAACAAUAUUGAAUUUCAAGUUAUUAGUAUUAGUAUUAUGUAUAUGCGGAUCCUAGGGAAAGAAAAGAAUGAGUCCACUCAAUUUCUUUUAAAAAAAUUAUAUAUAAACUUUGUUUUCUUCCUAAUAAAAUUAUGAUAAAUGUAAAUGAACGGAAAGGCUCCUUCAAUAUAGGAUGUGUCAAUACCACGUUGGAACUGCUAAUAAAAGUCUAUUCAAAAUAUUAUUGUACAAACCUAAAUCACAAGUUGAAAUACAAGUACUCAACCAACUCUUGGUGUUAGGGAAUUUUAGUGGCUUCGGAGGGAAAUCAAACCCGUAUCUAUGAGAAAUAUAUGAAUUUCAGAUUUAUAUAAAGUUGUUAUAAAAAAAAUUAUGUACUAAUAAAAAAACCUUAAUGAUUGUAGUUUCCAUUGAUAUAUUAUUUAUCUAAAUAGAAUUUGAAUCGACUGCCUCCUCAUAAGUAUGAUUUAAAUCGGAGGGAAAUCAAACCCGUAUCUAUGGGAAAUAUGUGAAUUUCAGAUUUAUAUAUAAAGUUGUUAUAUAUAGAAAAAAAUUAUGUACUAAUAAAAAAACCUUAAUGAUAACGUACUUUCCAGUGAUAUAUUAUUUAUCUAAAUAGAAUUUGAAUUUACUGGCUCUUAAUAAGUUUGAUUUAAAUUUAUUAAUAAUGGAAAUUAAUGAAUUUGGUGCUUCGUAUUGAUUGAUCUAGGAUGUAUGAAUUAUUGUAAAUUUAUGAUACUAAUAAAAAAGAAAUUAACUGGUCAAACUUUGUUAGAAAAUAAUUAUAUAAAUGAGAACCAACUAAAUAAUUAAUACUUUUUUUAGCUCUAAUAUCAUGUUAGUAAAUUAAAAAGAGAAAAGAAAAGAGUAUGAGAGAAGAUAAUAAAAAUAGAAUUAAUUGAGAUGACUAACAUGAUUAGAUCAAACAUCUGCUUGUUGACUUGUAUAUAAUAUGAAAAGUAACCAAUUAGUAACUAGUUCUUAAUUCUUUAAGUCUUAACCAAUUACAUAUUUCUUUAGUAUAUACAAAUAAAAUAUAUUUACUUACCUUUAUUCAUCUUCCACCUUUCCCUAGUGUUUUCUGUCCCGUCCUUGUUUAUAUAAAUAAAUGCUGGGACAGUAUUUUGAGGACAAAACAACCUCAUGGUUCAUGAAUGAGACCACAAAGGGUCAAUGAGUCUUCCAAGGUUUGAACUCUGAUCACAGACUUGCUGAAAAAAGUGCACACAACACAGGGAUACAUAUCAUUUUCAAAAUCAUGUGCCUAAACUCAUGAAUGAGUUCACAAAAGGGUCAAUGGUCUUCUAAGGUUUGAACUCUAAACACAGACUUGCUGAAAAAUAUAUAUGUACACAACAAAGGUAUAACAUUUUCAAAAACAUUUUCAAAAUCAUGUGCCUUAAGAAGAGGGUAAACUUGUUCAUACUUGCUUCAAGGAGGUGUUGUUAACUACCCAACCAGCCACUACUCCGAUCAGUGACCAAGUUUUACCAAGUGGGCGGCUACUAAUGAAUUGAAGGCAUGACAUGGAAAGCCUUGGUUCACAAAAGGUUGCAGUAGAACCUAGUCACCAUGCACUCAUGAAGUUACUCAAAAGUGUGAGUGUGCUAGUUAUAAAUUGCAACCUAAUCACUUGUAACUCUCCAAGGUCCACUAUCUAGUGCUCUAUCUUUGUGUAUAUUCCCUGUGGUCCCCUUUUACUCAUUUCCAAACUUUAGCCUUUACAUCGUCAAGUUUUUCAUUUUCAGUUAAUCCUCAUCUCUUUUUUGAGUUUGUUCUCUCAAGGUAAUCUUCUUUGGUGUGGUUCUUCUUGGUCACACUGUUGUGAUAGCUGUUUCUAGUUAGUUACCUGUGAAACUUGUUUGUGUCAGGCCAUCUUGGCUUUUGUGCUGUGUUGUCUUGUCUCUCAGAUUGCAUAUGCCUUUGAUUGAGACUGGAAAGUGUUUCAGAAUUUGCAUUAUGUUUUUUCUUUAUUCUAUUUCGGUGAGAACUUUUGGAGUGAACUAAUAUAAAAUGAUGUGAAAAUGGUAUUUUGUCACUUAAAGUGUGCAUAUUCUGUGAUGGAUUUUGGGAAUUAGAAGACUCAGUUGAACUGCCUUUAAACCAAUUGUAAAAUUGAAAGUUGUUAGUUACUAUGUUAUCAAGAAGUGCCAAAACAAAAACGCAGGUUUGGAUAAAAAAAGGUUAUUGGGUUUCACAAUCUAUAGGAAGACUUCCACCAAAACUUUUCCUAUUAAGCUUUAGGUGGAGUCACCUGUGCAGUUGUACAAGUUUGUGAAUCCAAUACAACGUGAAGGUUUGUGAUUCAUACAGCUUUGCACUAUUUCUAGAAUGAGACCAUUUGUGCAAUAGAGAAAGAAUUUCAAAAGUGAAGUAGAUGUGACAUAAGUAUUAAACUUCUCAAUUUUUUUUCAUGUUAGUUUAACUUUCUUUUGGACUUUAUCAUUUUUUAUCUAUGAUGCAGUUUAGCCCAUGUCAGUCUCAGCUAGUCCAGCGCCACUGUUAGGGGAUCGACUGUGUGAAAAUGGAUUUAAGUGUUAAAAUUCUCCCUGCCACCAAUGAUGUACAUGGAGGAGUCAUUGUGGACUUAAAGGAGCCUAUGGACUCUGAAGAUUUUGCUACUUUGCUUAGAUCUUCACUUUUACAUUGGAAGCAACAGGUAAACAUUAUGAUCUAGAGCCUAAAAUGGUACUUUUUGUUGCAUUUAGUUCUCAUCUGAAAAAGUUUAGCCAUCUUGUCAAUGCCUAUUUCCACUUCUAAUCGUUGGCCGCUUUCUUUAUUUAGGUGCAACAAGUAGUUCACAUGGUAGUAUGAUAUCAUUUAUUUGACUUGAGAGCACCUCUUUAUGAGUGAAAUUUUGAAGCUAAUAAAGUUCUUCUAAGCAGGGAUUCUCUCUGGAUUCUGUUGGCCAUACGCGUUAAAACCAACUAUUAAAUAAUACAAAUAUUAAGUCAGCUGAUAUAUGUUCAGCAUACACGCUUCAACUCAAGAUGAAUGUUUUUAUCCAAAAAAAAUAAUCAUACUUUUCAAAGUCGUCAUUAAUGCUACAUGCACAUUAUGAAUUUUGUGACCCUACUCAAUAUUUCAAACCUUUAUCUGAAUGUGGCUGUGUGUGUGUAUAACCCUUUAUCUGUAUGAAUGUCAGCAUUUUUUUUCCUGCAUAACAUAAUGUUCUUGCCUAAAAUUUAUUCAGUCAUAAAAUGAAAACCUCUGACCUCUAGUUAGCCUUUAUUAACUUUAGUAAGCUUUGCAGGGAAAAGAUGGUGUUUGGAUCAAGCUACCUAUUGAGCUUGUUAAUCUUGCUGAAACUGCAGUUAAGGUAAUUUUGCCAUAUUUUCUUUGGGAGUUCUUUUAUAAAUUGUUUUAUGCAUGGUUCCUCAUCUUGCAAACCGCUUGUCAGAUCCAAUACUAAGAAAAACUUGUCAUAAUAAUGUGACAAACUCAUAUUAACCAUAUUAUAACUAUGAUCUCUAUUCUCUAAUUUUGAAAUGCAAUGGUAAUGUUUGUCUAGUAUCUGAUAGACAUCGCAUGUUAGCCUGAUAACCAUAUUAUUCAUAUUCAAAGCAUCUUGUGUCAAAUCUUGUCAUUUGGGGUAGCUACUAGUGUAAGGUGUAAGAUGAUUACAUCAAUUUCUAUUUCUAUUUUAUAUGUUCUUGUGUGAUGUUAAUAAUUGAGUUUGAGGAAAUUGAUGGAAUCUUGAUAUUUGAGAUUGAUAAUAAAAUUUGGUCAUAAAUGUGCUCUGUGUUAUGUGCUGGCAGGAGGGUUUUUGGUACCACCAUGCAGAGCCAAACUAUCUAAUGCUAGUUUACUGGAUUCCAAAAACUGGCUGCACAAUACCUCCAAAUGCUUCCCAUCGUGUAGCAGUUGGCGCAAUUGUCCUGAAUGAUAAGAAAGAGGUCUAAAAUAAGAUAAAAAUUUGGUUAUGUAGAUCCACAUGUUUUGUUACAAAUAUUCAACCUUUUUUUUCAUGAUGGCCUUCUCCUACUUUUUAUUUAUGUUUUUCCCUUUGUUUUGGGGUAUGGCGGGCUUGUUUGUAGGUUCUUGUGGUCAAGGAAAAGAGAGGUGGAUUUCAUGGGAUUGGUGUUUGGAAGAUACCUACUGGAUUAGUUGAUGCAGUAUGCUCUCUUUCAAAGACAGAUUUCAUCUAUUCUUGAAAAAAAUUUACAAUUUGGUUAGCGACUUGAAACUUGGAUUACCUGCAGGGUGAGGAGAUUUUUGAAGCAGCUAUUAGAGAAGUUAAAGAAGAGACAGGAGUAAGUAUAGUGUCAGAGUACAAUGUUGAAUUACCAAAUGCAUAUUGUAGAAUGUCAGCAUUAUUGUGUUAUAGUCAUGACUUUUAUCGUGGUCUGUUUUAUUUUUGUUCAGAUUGACACAGAAUUUGUGGAAGUACUAGCAUUCAGGUAUGAAUUUUCUAAAAUGUGACACCUAAACUAUGAGAUACCCUUUAGUUUGUGCUGAUAUUAUAUAAAGGGUAAGGCACCUAGGUUCAGUCUACAAAUGAAAAAAAGUCCUUAAUAACUUUUUAGGAGAAGUUUCAUAUAGAUCCAUAGUUUUAGAAAGGAAAUUUCCUACCAGCAGGCCAAAUAGAAUUUGAGUUAAAUUACAUUUAAGCUCAGGGGAAACACUAUGAAGGACACUUGCUUUGUUUUUCUCUUCUAAUCAAUAGUUUGACAUCCUAAUAAAUUAAAGUUCAUAAAAGAAAUAAAAAAUUUCCAACACUUGACCUGUCUUUCUUCUUCUUUCUUUACCAUAUAAUUGCUUUUGACAUUCUGUUGUUUCUGAUUUUCAGACACACACACAAUUCAUUCUUUGGAAAAUCAGAUAUAUCUUUUAUUUGCAUGCUGUGUCCUCUUUCUUUUGACAUCAAAAAGCAAGAACUGGAAAUUGAGGCAGCUCAGGUAUUUUCGUUUGAUAGAUGCAGAACAUAAUGUAAACACCUCACAAAUGAUACUCUAAAAUGAUAGAUGCAGAAUAUAAAAGAGGUGACAUCAAAUUAAUGGAUAUUCUUCUUCCCUCCUCAACUUAACGAUGCAAAUCAGUCUUAUGUCAAUACUCCAGCUCACCAUUCGUCAACAAAGUCCAAUUGUGCAAAGCACUAUGAAUAACUGAAAACACGCAAAAAUUGUUUUCCAUAAAGAAAAGACUUAUGAACAGAUCACGUUAGCUUAUUAGAAUGAUUAAUAUUUUUUUUUCACAAACAAAUCAUAGUUAUGUUUAUUGAAUGUGACACAUUUUGUGACCACUAUCUACAUAAUGAAUUUGUUCAAACAUUUAUUAUAGUAUUUGAACUAAUUAUUGCAAUUUGUUCAAAUCACAAUGAACUGGUUCAAACGAUGGUCCUUCAAGUUGUUGAAGAAUGACUGUGGAACUAAUUAUAGCAUAGGAAUCUAAGAACAUACAUGAUAGAGGAUAUUUUUGGUUCCAAGUUCUUCAAAAGAUAGUUGAUAAGAUGAUGGUAUGUUAUUCUUUAUUAGAAGUCUGCAUAUCACAUAUAAUUGCUGAUUUUCCUCACCAUUGCCAUAUAAUUCAUUGUCAUUGCAUUUGCAUGUUUACCUCGUGACACUAGUGCUAUUAUGACCAUAUUUUGCAUGUGUUGGUGAUGCAUUUAAUUUUCUUGACUAAAAUCUUCUUUGUUGUGCUUUGUAUUUUCUCACAAAGUGGAUGCCGUUCAAGGAAUUUGCUGAUCAACCUUUUAAUCAGAUGCAUGAACCCUUCAAGUACAUGAUUGAAUUAUGCUUGGCAAAGGUUGAAAAAGUCUAUAAUGGAUUCUCUCCGCGACCUGUCUCGUCGUAUUUCGUGAAGGAGUUGAAUUAUCUAUAUUUGAAUAGCCAUGGCCUGGACAAAUCUUCUUAAGUUUUCCAAAUCAACCUUGGUCGUCAUCCAUAAAAGUUGAUUUAAGUAUUUCUUUCUUGUAAAGGCUUAAUUAUGUUUUUUCCCCUUAAAUUUAGGUUAUUUUUAUUUUUUUCCUUCAAAUUUAAAUCUAUUUUUCUAGUCUUCAAAUUUUAAAAAUAUUCUUUUUAGUCUCUCUUGCGACAAAAAAUUAUCACAAAUUAUGCAUUCAAAUAAAUUAGCAAAAAUCAAUCAAGAGGGAUUAAAAAAAGUAUUUUUCUAAAUUAAGAGACUAAAAAAACUAAUUUAAAUUUGAGGGACCAAAAACAAAAAUAACUUAAAUUUGAUAAACCAAAAACAUAUUUAAACCUUCUUGUAAGACAUGUUGGAGUUUAAUUUUAAACUUUAGAUUAUUAACAUUACUUAUAAAAAUAAGAUUUAUAAUAUUUUAAUUGAUAGAUCAUAGUUAUUAAUUGUUUGAUCUUAUAAUGUGAGUGUGUGUCUAUUAUUGGUUGGAAAAUAUUUGAUGAAUAUGUUAGCAAUAGUAACCAAAAUUCUAAAGGGAAUGAGAGAAAUCACAUGUCACACACAAACACAAGAAAUUUAACGAGGUUUGACAAGUGUGCCUAGGUCCUCGGGAGCAAAGUGAUAGUUUCUUUUUCUUCUUCAUAAACAAUGAGGUUACGUCAAAAUAUAUAUAAUAUACACACACAUUUUCUUAAACAACAUAAAUUAUCUUUAUCCGCUUUAUAAUAUUAUGUCUAGCGUGGGGACUUUACCUCACACCCCCAACUCGCUUCGUAAUCCAACAAUUGGUGUCCCUUAUGCUACGAUACAACAUUUGUCAUGUCCAUAAAAUAUGAGUCAUGCAUAGCAAUCUCCACCAUGGAGAAUAUUCAACCCCAUGGAAAAUAAACAAGAAGUCCAUCUCAUAAUGUUAUAGGUUGGGGUCUUGUCACGUCUUGCAUUGAACAACAUUCAACAAGUCCAAGAAAUGCUUGAACUUCUUAGUUGUGAUCACCUUGGUUAACAUAUCAACUGUAUUCUUUGAAGUGUGAAUCUUCCUAAGCAAAACCUAAUCAAAUGUCAUCAACUCCUUGAUUUUUUCGAACCUCACAUUAAUAUGUUUUCUUAUAGCAUGAUACACCCGACUCUUUGCUAAAUCGAUAGCACUUUGACUAUCACAAUGCAACUGAACUCCACCUUGUUCAAUGCCCAGCUCCUUCACUAGCCUUGCUUACUACACAACUUCCUUACUAGCCUCUGUGCUACCUCCAUGUACUCUGCUUUAGUUGUCGGCAUUGCCACAAGAGAUUGAACAAUGGACUUCCAACAAACAGGCCCACCUCUAAGAGUAAAGACAUACCAUGUUGUAGACCUUCUAUCAUCUAGAUCACCAACAUAGUCAGAAUUCACAUAUCUCACAACUGAAGGAUCACCCUAUUAACUGAUGAAUAUAAUAUCAUGACCUGUUGUACCCUUUAAAUACUUUAAGAUCCACUUUAUUUCUUCCCAUUGUCACUUCUCUAGGUGAGACAUAAACUUGUAGACUUGACUUACAACAUGUGCCAAAUUUAGGCUAAUGCACACCAUAACAUACAUCAGGAAACCAACUUCACUGGCAUAAAGAACCUUUGACAUGUACUGCACCUUAGUAUUUGUCUUCAAACAUUGAUCUAUAUAAAGGUUAAAAUGUUUUGCUAAUGGAGUACUCACAUGCUUCACAUUCCUCAUGUUGAACCUGUUUAACACCUUCUCAAUGUAGCCCUACUGUGAGAGCCACAUUUUUUUGGAUUUUUUGUCUUUGUGAACCUCCAGCACAAGAAUCUUCUUGGCACGAACCAAGUCCUUCAUGUCAAACUCCUAACUCAGCAAUGAUUUCAAGUCAUUCACAUCAUGCAAAUCUUUACCAACAAUCAGUAUAUUAUCAAUAUGCAGUAGCAGAAAAAUGAAAGAGUCAUCAUCAAGGCUCCUCACAUAAACACAAUAGUCAUACUCACAUCGCCAGUAGUCAAUCUGAAGCAUGUAGGAAUCAAACUGCUUGUACCACUGCCUUGGAGACUGCUUCAAUCCAUACAGAGACAUCUCCAACAUACAAACCAAUUGUCUUGGUCCACCUUUAUUGAACCCAUCUGGCUGCUCCAUGUAAUUUUUCUCUUCUAAAUCAUCAUGAAGAAAGGUUGUCUUCACAUCUAUUUACUGUAAGUGCAUGUCACAAUUGGUUACCAACACUAGCACUGCCCUAAUAGAAAUGUGUCUUACGACGGGAGGAAAAAUCUAAUGAUAAAUGACCCCCUUCUACUAUGCAUACCCCUUGGUUACUAAGCGAGCCUUGAACUUUUCCCCUUCUUUUUCUGAUACUAAAGGUUUCAUCUUGUUCACUCAUUUGCUCUAUGGCUUUCUUGCCCUCAUAAAGCUCAACUAGCUCCCAUGUAUGAUUCUUAUGCAAAAACUCUAUCUCCUCCACUAAACCACCCAUUAAUCUAUCUGUCUCUUGGUUUUUCAUAGCCUCUUGAAAGGUGGAAGGAUCUUUAACACUAAUGAAAAGUGCAAAAGUAGCCAAUUUAGUCAAUUCUUUAAACCUAUAUCAGACAACAAGUUUAAUGGUACGAUGAUCUCUAUCUUUGAUAGGAUUGUACUCCGGAUGUAGGCCACCUGGAAUCACUAAUCUAGGCUUAGGUGUGGAUGUGGCCUUAGGUCUUGGAUUGCAUGGUUCAACCCUCUUAGGAAUCUCUAGCAACUACUUAAAUUCCACUUAAACCUCCAUGGAUCCACUGCCAACUCCAUUAAUACUCAUCCGAGCCGGUCACUAAGUCAAACCAUUGGCUCUGAUACCAAUUUUUGUUUAGCUGGGGGGUAAACAUCGGAGAGAUUUACACCAAUGGGUCAUGGUCAACUACAUAAGUGAGUUUGAUACCACACUUUAACACAAAACCUUAAGGCUUAAGUUUAUAGGCUUUAUCCUUUACUUAUAUGGUGUUCAAGCAUCCCAUUCCUACCUAAUGUGAGACUUCACCUCACACUUAUACUCCAGAAAUCUCUCUCUCAAGUGUGAGUCUCUUCCACAUAGUAGUCUCUCCUCAAGCAUAAGCCAUUUUCUAUCCAUGAGUAUCCAAUGGUGGUCCUUAGAGUUUAACCGUGGUUGUCCCGACCUUACCUAGCCAUUGUCGCCAACAUGUUCUAGUGCCUUGAUCGCCACUCUCCACUGUUUCAUGGCUACGAGACACGUCGCUCAGCCUUUCGUGCAUGGACUCACUCGUCAAGUAGACUUUUGAUACAGGGGACACAUUGUUUUCCCCUCCAUGCAUGGACUCAUCCCUCAAUUUCACAUCAAUUAGUAUCAUAACCAAUGGUUUGACUUGGUGACCAGCUCAAACAAGUAUUAAUGAAGUUGGUAGUGGAUCCAUGGACAUCGAGAUCCCUUGUACCGAAAGUCUUCCUGAAGGGUGAGUCCAUGGAUAGAGGUCAGACAGCGAGUCCCGCAGAUGUUGUGGUAGUGCAAAUAACUAAAGUAUGUUGGCGGAAAUGACUAGGCAAGUCGGGGCAAUCAUGAUUAAGCUUUAAGGUCUACCAUAGAAUACUUGUGGAUAAAAAUGGCUUCCACUUGAGGGAGGGUCUACCAUGUGAAAAAGACUCACACUUGUGGGAGAGAUUGUUGGAGUACAAGUGUGAGGUGAAGUUUCACAUCGAGUAGGAAAUAGAAGGUUGAACUCCAUAUAAGUGAAGGAUAAAACUUAUAAACCUAAGCAUCAAUGUUUUGAGUUAAAGUGUGGUGUCAAGUUCACUUAUGUGGUGUGUUUGUGACCAAUUGGUAUAAAUCCCCUAGGUGUUUACCCCUUUUUAAUUUCACAUCGAUUAGUAUUAGAACCAAAUGAAAAGAAAGAUCAGAUACUUGAGGUCUAACAAUGGCACAAAAUACACAAACUCAUGGUUCCAAAAAUUUGUGAGAAACAUGGCAUUCAAAGACAUUUCUCAAUGUGGAAAACACCACAACAAAAUGAUGUUGCAGAGAGGAUGAAUAGGUCCCUUACUGAAAGGAUAUGGUGUCUAAGGUUGCAAGAUGGCCUUUCUAUAUAGGCUUUUGGGCAUAAAUGAUGAAUAUGGUGUGUUAUUUGCUCAACAGAUCACCACGAGCAUCAUUGGAUGAGAAAGUUGCAAUGAAAGUCUCGACAGAUUUUAAUAAUUUAAGAAUAUUUAGGUGUCCUACUUUUGUGCGUAUAUCCAAUGAUGAGAGAUAUAAACUUGAUCCAAAGUCAAAAAAAUUGUAUUUUUGUAGGUUAUUCUAAAGGCAUGAAAGGGUUCAAGUUUUGGGAUUUAGUUUCCAUGAAGUUGGUGAUUAGUAGGGAUAUAGUGUUUGAUGAGCAAUCCAUGUUACCAAAGAUAGUUGAAACAACUUUGUCAGUGUCUGAUGGAAUUUCCCUUAGCUCCAUGGAGGUUUAAGUGGACUUUGACCAUCUAUCAAAGAUUCUUAAGAAGGAAGAACCACCUUGGCGAAUAUCUAGCCUCAUGGAAGAUAAAUAAAAAAUCCACCUCAAUCUAUUGGGUUGGGGUUCUGUCACUUUUUCGACAAGUCCAAGCAAUGCUAGAUGUCAUCAACUCCCUGAUCUUGUGGAAGAUCACAUUAAUGUUGUAUAACCCAAUGGGAUAUAAGCAACCACAUAAGUAACUUUGACACUAGCCUUAACUCAAAACCUUAAGGCCUAGGUUUAUAGGUCUUAUCCUUCACCUAUAUGGUGUUCAACCAUUCAAUUACUACCCAAUGUGAAACUUCACCUCACAUUUAUAUUACAACAGAACAUCCAAGAACCAAUUCAACAACUAGAGAGAGAGAAAAAAGAGAGGAAAAAUAUAGGUAUGAUAAGAUUUAUGAUGUGAUAGGAAAAGAGAUAAAGAGAAAUGAAAGGUGUUGGUGAAAUGUUUAAAAUAAAUAGUAGUUCAUGUAUCAUUACUCUUGUUGGUUAGGUUGUCACUUGGUACUUAAAUAAGAGGACGUGUUUUCUUCCUAAUAGUUAUAAAAUUGUCGUCCCGUAAGGUAAUUUUGUGUGGCACAUUGUAGGAGAAAACCUAGUUGUCAAGUAGAGAAAAACAUCUCCCUUGUUUUGGCUUUUGUGUACACACCUACUAAUUGCAGCAACAAACAAGGAUUUCAUUUUCUCUUUAUGUAUGCACCUACUAAUUUUUAUAAUUGUUAUUGUAUAGUUAUGAACAUGUUAUGUCAAUACAUCAUUUGUCAUUAAAUUUUCAUCCAAAAGAAGUGUUAGUAAUACACUCUUUAACAUGUCUCUCUCAACACAUUAUGUUAUUGAUUAAAAUAUAUUAAAAAUUGUUAAGUAAAAUGGACACAUGGACACGCACACACACCCCACACACCCACCCACCCACCCACCCACAGAAAUUCUUCAAGGGGAGUUGCAAUUGAAGUUUGAGCAUAAGUUGAGUGAUUACUAAGAAGAAAAAAACAUAAGAAAUGAAUUUACAAGUUUGAUGAAGCUAACUGAAACAAACUAUAUCGUUGUGAAAAGUUUUCUUAAAUGUAUCUUUUGGACAUAUCUUAGUUUUAUGUUCUUACCUUGGACAAAUGUGGUUUCAAUUUCAGCUUUGAAUAAUUGUAGUUACAUCUUUUGAGCUUAGAAAUGGAAAACUUGUUAUUUAUUUCCUUAUUUUUGGAUGGAGAGUUUUUUAGUAUGCUAAAUUUUAAAGACAUGUUUGUUAAUUUUAUUGUUGGACAUAUAAAUGUGAUGUAAGCAUGCCCCCUCCAAAAAAAAAUAGAACGAAACUUUUAAACAGAUAAAGAAAACUAAAAAUUAAAAUUGAACAUUUUAAAAAGUCAGCAUUAAGAGUCAUGCAAGCUGAUUGCAAUUUGUUUGCUACUUCAAUAUCAUAAUGACAAAUGUUCUGCCAUGCGGCAUCAUAUCCGAUAUAUCAAAAGCGGUGACAAAUGCAUGACCUUAUUAGACAGCUGCUGAUUUCAUAUAUAUCUGAUUAUGUAUUGUCUGUAAGAACAGCAAUGUUCUUCUAAACCUUUCUCUAGUUUGAAAGGAAAAACAAAUGUUUCCAACAAAGUUUCUUCUAUUUGAAACCACCAUUUGGUUACCACUCUCUAAUUUUACCUUUAAAGCUUCAUGAGACAAUGUUACUCAACCCCCAACAUGUCUGAAUUGCUCCAAAUGUGAAUACCCUUGUCAACAACAACCCUCAACACCACUUCCAUAUCUUGCUCCACCACCACUACAACCAUCAUCUCCUCCACCUUAUGGUUACUCUAUAUAUGGAGCACCACCACCACCAAAAGAGAAAGACAAAGACCCUAGCAAGUGCCCUCCUGCUGCAGGUGUUCAGUGCUGCACCCCUCCAGCUCCUUAUGUUUGGCUCCUCCAUAUCCUUACACUCCUGUGCCUUAUGGUCAAGACCAACGUUCUGCUUCAAUGCUUCUUCAAGUUGUAGUUCCACUCAUGAUGUUUUUCUCUUCCUUUUAUUUUUCUCUUCUGAAUUUUGUGGGUGUUUAUCAUUGUCAAGUCUACAACAAUUAAGUAGUGAUCAUUUUAAAUUGGAUAUCGAUACCAUGUGUUUGAUGCUCUUAUAAUUGUGAUUUUUUUAUUUCUAAGAAUCAAACUUUAGAAUUAUUUUUAUAUAUAACCAUCAUAAUCAUAAAUUUUAGAAUUAAACUCAAUUUUUCUCUUUUAGAAUUGAAAAUGUUCAUAUAAUCCUUCACAUAAAAUUCUACUGAGGGAAAGGAAAAAUAUAACCCUGGUUGAUGAGAAGGCAAAGGGUAUUGGAUGUGUCCUAGCUAACGACCAAAAUGGCCUCUGCAAGAUCCUUACACAACGACAAGUGUUUGAGGGCAAAACAUUUUUCUUUGUGUAUGUGAAUCCGAUGAGUAAGGGAGUAGUUUCUGCAUAUGGGAGAAGGGUGAAGAAACAAGAAGGCCAUGAUUGUCCUGAGCUAGGCUACCGAAUGCAUUUAAUGUUGGACUGGACCACCUAUUAUUUCUCGAGAUAAAUAUAUAUGAUGUCAUGCCAAACUCACCUUAUGAGAGAAAACACUCUGUUGCCAAGGGAAAUUAUCCUCAAGUACUCGUUAUUACUUUAUUAUACGGUUUUCUCGAUGUUGUUUUGACUAGUAACGAAGGAUGAAUUUGUCUAAACUUUAAAAAAAAAAACUAAAAUAAGUAUUUUUUUAUGUAAAUGUUUUAUUAGGUAGGAUUUACUUCUUGAAAAAAACAGAAAAUGAUUUAUUUUAAGUGAAAAUAAUUUAAACUAACACAUCAGAAAAUCGUAUAAUUAUUUAUUUUAUUUUUAAAAAUAAGCUUUAAAACACUAACCCGAAAUCUUAAUACCCGAAGGUGUCCUUGAUGAAAAAUGCAUCAGAAACUAGCCCUCUAGUGACUAUAUGCAUCUACAAUUAACAAUUAAAAAACUUGAAAUUGCAUUGUGGAAGCCACUCUAAAGAGAGAUACCUUAAAAAAUUGCUCGUAUGCCAUUGAUAGCAGGAAGCACAUUGCACAGGGUACUGAAUACUGAUUAGUAAAAAGCGAAAGAAUAAUUCACGUUGCACUCUGUAAGUUGCUGCGUGAUUUGUACUUUAAAGUCGCUUCCAUAUUAUAUUUACAUGUGAUGUGGGACUUGUAAAAGUAGUAAAGCGCACGAGUAACUUUCCAUUUCUGACCACCAGUGUGAUAUAAUUAAUUUUGAAUUAAAUUGGUUUUAUAAAAUUAAUUUGAUUAAAAUUGAUUUAUGUUUAAAUAUUUUUAUUAUAAAAUUAAAUUAAUAGUAAAAUUUAUUAUAGAUUUUCUUAUUCAAUGCAAAAAUUGUUUAAAAUUAUUUUAAUUCAAUCAAUUUAAAAAGUUACGUGAAAUUAAAUACAUAAAAAUAAAUUUAAAAUUAAUUUUAGACUCAAUGAAUUUUCUUGGUCGAACUAAACACACAUUUAUUAUUCAUUAUGUGCUUAGCAAAAGAAAGCAACUUUAUUCCCUUAGUGGCAAUAACUUGACUAGUUAGGAUAUAUAUAUUGUAUUAUUCAUUAUGUGCUUAGCAAAAGAAAGCAACUUUAUUCCCUUAGUGGCAAUAACUUGACUAGUUAGGAUAUAUAUAUUGUAUGCUUUCACUGUAUGAUGCAUUGCAUCCUAAACAUUUUUCUGUCUAAUUUGAAAUACAUAAUCGCCUGAUUUUUGUUUAAUUUGAAAUAAUAUUGUAUGUUUAAUUUGGAAUAAGAAGCACUAAUAACACAUCUCUACACAAAUACGAUAACAAUGAAUGUAAUUUUAAACAAAUCUAAAAAUACAAAAAAAGACAAAAAGUCAAUAUAUCAUAAAUUUUCAAUGUUCUUAUUUCUUGAAAACAGAAAACAAAAAAUCAAACCAAACAUGUUUUCAGAAUUUUAAUUUUUUAAAAAUAAAAAUAAUUUUUAAAAAAUGAAAACAGAAAAUAAAAAUAUAAAUCAAACACUCCCUAAAAAAUAACUCUGCUGUUUCAUUUUUUUUUUUAUAGAGAAAUUGCAUCACAACGAUUACAUUAUCUGCAUAGUAGUACGUGUUAGUAAUUACCUACCCUAGUGAGAAGGAAACUGAUUAACGAUUGAAAUUCCUUAGCCAAUUGGAACUCGUGGAUUUUAAAUUGCGACUAGGAGGGUACCUUUGUAAAUUCUUAAAAAUUUGUUAUCAAAAGAAACCCAAUGGCGAAAAGUAAAAUAUAGGAAAUACAAGAAUAGAAGUUACUGCAAAUGAAAUGAUUUUUAUUUUUAAUUUUCGUAAGAGAUUAUUCUAACAAUAUUCAUUGGUCCUCAUAACAUAUGUUUCAUGUUCCUAUAAAUAUAAUACAGUAGUGUUUUUUUUUACUGAAAAAUAAUACAGUAGUUGCAAAAUGUAACAAUAUUUCUUUUUGAAAGCAACAAUUUUGUUUUUAAUUCCUACAAAACAGCUAUAUUUUGAGUCUCUACUUUACCUCCUACAAAUAUAACAUUUUUUUAUUUAUUUUAAUACCUACCGUCACGACAAGAAUUAAGAACAGAAAACCAAAAAAUCAAGUUACGGAGAAGAAAAUGACAAGAACAAAAAACACUAUAUUUACGGUUAUGUAGUACAAACAUAUUUAAUCAUAAAAUAUAAAAUGAACUUUUAUUAAAUGAAAGAAAUAAAUAAUAAUGAAAGCAUCUCAGUUUCCAGUUAAAUUAAAAAACCAUCCUGUAAAUUGGUUUGUUCAUUACUUUACCUCAUCAAUAGUUCUGAAACUAUAAGCCUUAUCCGCAUGCUUCAUUUUCUUACUUAACUCUAUGAAAACGUUUAAAUUUAAAGAAAAUAACCACAAGCCAUUAUAACCAAUUUAAAAGCAGCACCAAACACUGAUCAAGACGAAAAAACAAGCAGGGCCAAAGGAUCCACCCUUUGUCCUUGUCAACAACAACACAAAACACAUUAAUUCUAAUAAGGGCCCAACUUCUGAACAAAACAACUAUAUAAAUUAUAAAGUAGUGAAUUUAUUUAUGCCUACAAAACAACUAUAUAAAAAGUAGUGAAUUUAAACCUCUACAAUGUUAGGUGUCGGCUUCACUCUUUGAUUCAGUCAAUUUCAUAUGAUUUCAUAUCNNNNNNNNNNNNNNNNNNNNNNNNNNNNNNNNNNNNNNNNNNNNNNNNNNNNNNNNNNNNNNNNNNNNNNNNNNNNNNNNNNNNNNNNNNNNNNNNNNNNUGUUCGUCAUCAACGUGUCGGUGAUCUUCGCAGUGGUGAGCUUCGUUUUCAGAGUAACAUCUUCACCGUCGUUCUGAACAGUGAAGUCGAACUUGUUAGCGCCAUCAGUGGCGAGAGUGUUCUGAAGUCCGUUGUUGGAUUUGAGAGUGGCUUUGGACUGGUAAACCGGAACACCGUGGAAUUCGAGAAGCGCGACCUUACCGGAUUUGGUUAGGUUUUUGAAUUUGGGGAGAAACGCUUUGAACGCGUCGUCGAGGGGGCAAAAGACGGUUAAGCCCCCAUCGAGGUUGUCAUUGAAGGUGUUAAGCGCGUCGGGUUGAGCAGAGAGAGCGUCGGCGAAGACCUUGCAUCCGUGUUUUGACAUAAUGUUGGUGAGGUUUUGUUGGGUGGGUGCGGGUGCAGGGGCUUCCGCUGCGGCAGAGGGGAGAACUUUGCUGAUCUGGAUUACUGAGAUGUUGUAAGGGAUUUCUUCUACGGAUUUGACGAAAGUUGAGGAGAGUGUGCCGUCGUUGUUUUCGGCGCCGAAGCCGACCUUUCCGCCGUGGAGGUCGGUGAUGUUGACGAAGCCGGCGGAUCCGGGAGCGCUGCCGGUGGCCUGGUACAUGGUGGCGGCGAGGGCGGUGCCGUUGGUGAUCUGGUGGAGCUUCUUGGCGCCGAAGUAGUCGAGGAGGACGUGGAGGGAGAGGAUGUUCUUGAUGGUGUAAAUGGAGGGGUGCUUGCUGAGGAGGUCCGACAUGGCGGCGUUGUCCACGGCGCAGACGGUGAUGGUGGUUUUGCCGUUGAUUUCCGGGGCCAGGUGGGUCAGGGUCAGGUAGUGGUUGAAGGUGGAGAACUCAGGGUGCUUUG
rnacentral:lncRNA from 1 species